UAUAAGGUAAAAGGCAGAGGGGCCUCUGUGGCCAAGGAGCAGCAGGCAAGGGGCUAAGGGGAGGGGGGCCCCGUGCCAGCCGUUUAAAAAUGCCCCGUGGCAUUGAGGGGUGCCAGAGGCCCGGUCAAGUUAGUUGAGAAGCAAUGACACCCCCAACAAUCCCCUAAAUGGGCUGGUGGCCCCCGUAUCCAGGCUGCAAGGAGCCACACCUGGACCAGACCCCGGCAGAGGCAAGGGCACUGGAUGGUGGGAGCCACUCCUAUGACCCUGACACUGGAGAGCAAGCACCCCAGAGAGGGCCCUCCUGAGGACCAGAGAGGAGGCCAGGCAGCAGGGGCCCUGAGAACAGAGCCGUGAGUGCCUCCCCCACCCCCACCUGGCUCUCACACCCCCUCCACAGCCCGACCCCUGCCACUGGAGGCUCAGGCAGGAGCCCUGCGCCUCAGGACGCACUCCCCAUCCCAACCCUCAGAAGGACCGAGAAACCAGGUCUUGGGCAUGGGAGGAGUUGAAGUAAGGCCCCUGCUGAUGGAGGGGGUGCGGGCAAUUCAGGGCAGCUAGAUGUGGGUUGUAAGUGGAAAGAAGUGGAGUCAAAGAAGGGAAAACCAACCGGGAGGCAAAAAUCCACCCCGCCCCAGGCUCCCUAUAAGCUAGCAAGGCAAAGCCUGUGUGCUACAGAGAAUAACAGAUUUGGGGGAACACGUGGAGAAUGACAGCAAUCUUCCCUGGGAAGGAGUAGACAGGGUCGGGCUCUAGGAACAGGCUGGACCUGGGGUUGGUGAGCCUGGUGAUGACAGAACCAGCUCCGGGGGCUUAGAAAUGGUCUGGGAGCUCAGGAGUGGGCCUGGGAUGUGCCGCGCUUGGGCACACAGUGGGGCUCAAGAAACCGUAGCAGGUUUCCCCCCAUCCGUCACUUUCUUCUACACUUGCCAGUUCCAGUUCCCUGUGUGUGGAGCAGGCGGGGUGAGGUAUAGGCUCCAUAAGACAGGUAGAGAAACUGAGGCACAAGGAAGUGAAGGAACUCACUCUCACAGAUAGUCAGUCGCAGCACGGGGUUCUGGCACUAUAUCUCAUAAGGGUGGGAAGAGUAGACGAGGAUCUGAUGGUGGGAGGACGCAGGGCUCUGGCAAGAAGCUGACACUCCAGGACAGGUGACGAGGCCCAGGCCUGGCUUACAUAAUGCAGCACACCUGUUCACCCCUGCAUGGCCCACACGUGCGAGCAAACGUGUGCUCCCGCACAGCGCGCACACCCGGCCGUAGCUCGCUAGCCAAUGAGCCUCAGAGCCUGGGUCUAAACAAAUUGGAUUAGGAGGGCUGCAGGCACCUUGUGCCCCCCCCCUCCCCCCACUGUCCAGCUCCGACACUGAGCAGGCCCGCAGAGCUGCCAGCUGCGGUCUCUCGGCCACGCUGACAGUCCGUCCUCAGCCCCGGAGACCUGCCCCCGGGCCCCAGGAAGAGAGCCGGGCGUCUGAGAGGAUGCCAGGAUGAUGGACGGGCUAGCUCAAGAGAACACAGGAUGUCGGUGCUUGUGCAAGGCUCGUUUCUGAGCUGUUCCCAGCAACUCGCCCCCACCUCCCCUCCCGCAGCCUCUCCCACGAUGGCUGCCGCCAGGGCCCAGAGCCCAGGCCCUGAGCAGAUCCGCCCUCGUCCCUCAGUCCCACAGCUGGGCAAGCGAGAACUGCUCAGCUUGGGAGACAACGACCUGGGGACAAGACACAGGCAGGCACCACACAGGGAAAAGGAACUUAGGAACAGAGAGACAAUGCCAAUUAUAAAAGUGACAGCUCCGUGCUUUCUCAUCCAUUGCUUUGCACAAUCCUCAGAGUGGGCCUGGGAGUUGGGAGAUGAGGCCUGUAGCACAGAUGGGACUACAACGGUUUCCUAUUGAGUGAUUCCACAACUUCCCUUCCCUGAAUCCCGAGUCUGCUCCAGCCCUGUGUGGGGUGCUCAGAGCACCUACACAGAACACCCCCUUGGGCUUGGGCACUGGGCACUGGGGCCUCCCUGGUCUUCCAGGGGAGCAGUGCCAUAGAUGCCUUUUACAUACGGCACACGUGAGCGGCUGAAUAGUAUCCCCAGCAGUAGCCUCAGCAAUCAGCCCCUCAGAACACAGACCCCGAGUUCAGCCCCGAGUUCAAACCCUGCCCUGCCCCCUUUCUAGCUGGAGAGCUGUGGUCCAGCGGGCCUCUCCAAGCCUGUUUUCCCUUCUAUGAAAUGGAGGUACAAAAGCUCCCCUUUUGUGGGGUUGACUGUGAGGAUUAAUGACUAUUUUCCAAACCCCCAUUUGACACGGGGAGAAACAGAGGCAAGAGAGGGAAAGGGCUCGGCCAAGGUCACACAGUGAGUUAAGGAUGAAGUCGGGACCAGGUGGAGACCCCCCUCCCCCGCCCCUCCUCCCAGUACAAAUCCUCCCCACUGGCUCCACCCCAAGCAGCCCAGAGGCCAUGACAGGCGGCCAGCCUAUAUAGGUGACUCUGGGGACAUGUCCUGGGACCCACUCUCCACCUUCAGCCCUGCCCCGGCCUCUGCAGCACCAGAGUCCCAGGUGACCAGCAGUGGCCCCCAGCCCUCAGUGGUGGGUGGUGGCGGAGGGUGGGGGAGCGCAGUGACGGGCUCCCAGCCCAGAGUGGCCUGGCCAUAUAAGGGAAGGAGCCAGGGAGGCCUCCUCACUCAGGCCUGGCGAGAAAACCCAGACAGCCACUGUUUAUUUUCUCCUUCCCAGCCUCCCGGAGCUUCCCAGGAAGACAGAGGUUCCCCCCCGCUGGGCUCCACGAUAUUUCCUGGAGACAGUGGGGUGCAGGGAGGGGAAAUUGGCCCAUUCUCUGGGAGCAACCCCCCAGACCGCCACCAGCCAGCACCAGGUAAGAAUCUGCCCUAUAGGAGUCCAAGGCUACCUGUUCAACCAUCUCCUUUGACAGAGGGGAAAUGGAGCCACAGAGAGGGGGAGCACCUGGGAGAAGGGACCACACCAGCUGGUGAUAGAACUUGGGGCUCCCAAGUGACCCCCUGUCUCCCAGCUGGGGUCCAAGAGUAAGAAGGAGCUUCUCGUGGGGCAAGGGAGUGCUACUGAACCCCUUCUCAUUUGAAGGAAACCAGAGGUCAGGGCCAGCACUGUCUCCAUGCUGGGCAAGUAAGAAAAACUCAAGGGAAGAGUUCCCAGGGCCAGAGAGCCAAGAGGACACCCUUCCUGCAUCUCUGCCCCUCCUUCCAGACCACCCCCUCCUCCUCCAGGAAGCGCUCCCAGCUUCCCCCUGGGGUGGGAACCUCUUUGUCCUCUAAGACCUUGGCAGUCCUUUCUCAGGCUCUCUCUUGUGCCACUUGGGUCUGCCCCCUAUUUACCUUGCCAGGGAUGUUUUCCUUCCAUCUCAGCCUGACUGUGCUCCUCCAGGGCAAGGAUCCAGUCAGGUUCAGUCCCACCUCCCCUUGGCAGGUAGAAGACCCCCUCGGUUUGCCGAAUGUUCAGGUGAAAUGAUUAGACCCUGUCCCAAACCCAGAGGAUUGGUAAAGUGGCUGGGGGAGGAGACACUCAGCACAGAGGUUAAAAGGAGGGCGCCAGGGGCCGACUGUUCGGAGGUAGGAACCCAACUCAGCUCCUAACUCCAUGGCCUUGGAAAAUUCCCUUCCCACAGAGCCUUGGGGACACAAGAGGAUUAGCACAACUAAAACAGUCAAUAAAUAACUGUUCUUAUGACAGUCGGCAUCACUGGAUUUUUCUAGAUACUAGGGAACAGAACGGCACAGCGUAUAGCCAGAGGAGAGGGAGGCAAAUAGGUUCCCUGGUCAAAGGCUGCUCUUCAAGGCCCUGUCCCUGC